AUGUGGGGGAUCAUGAAAAAUCGAAAACGCCAUGAUGUGAAUACAUCGAUAGAUACAGUAAAAGAGUUGGUCAAUCCCAGUGGCGAGUGGUUUCUGUCUUCAACUGGAAGUCUACUUAACUACUCAUUACGUGGAAUGUAUGUAUAACUGUUAAGUAGUAUAAUUUGUACAAACAUACUCAUUUUAUCUUUAAACUGAAAAAACAAUCAUGUAACAGGGAUCUCUUGACGUUAUAGACGUUUUACGUAAUAUUUAUUUUCUUAAAAGGAAUCCUUUCAUGUUGACUCGGUGAAUAAUUAUUUGGAAAAAGCUCUUGUGACGGAAUGAUAGGUGCCCAUAAACAAUUUUUUUACUCCUAAAAUGUAUAGUGCUCGGCAAGAUUUUUUAUGUAAGACACAAUACUUUCUAUUAUCAUGAACUUGAAACUUUCGCAAGGGUAUUAAAGUUGUAUUGGAUGUCACAAUGACGUCCAAUGUCAGGUCUCGUCCUGUUUUUGCGUGAAAAUAUGAUUUCCAAAACGGUGUCUUUUCAGAGCACUUUACACUUUUCCAAUUUAAGGGCUAAAAAAGGCCUUUACCGGCACCUGGUCUCUUUAGGAUGUUCUCAUUCACUAAAAUAAAUAUAUUGUACUUAAAUUUAAUUUUGAGAAUAAAGCCAAAGAAAGAUGUUUUAAAAUUAUUUGUUUCAAUAAGACUAGAAUUUAAAAUAUGUAUAGUUUGAUAGGACCCAUACCCCACAAAAUUUUGUGCCGUACAUUCAUGGGUACUUACUUUGCCUAUUUGUAGAAUUACUUUAUUCCGUAACUUAUGAUUGCACGCCCUUUAAUAACUCAUUCUGAGAAUGUGCCUAAUAUAACUAAGCGUGAUUAUUUUAAUUUGUAAAUUGUAAUUAUGUGCAUAAUAAGUAUAAAACAUUACACUCAGUUUUGAGUUGUUACAAUUCCUUCAUUAUUUAGUAAAAAGUUGAUUUGCCUCGAACUUUUUUCUCCAUCUUAUUUGGUCAUAGAAAAGUGAACUGCUUUCAGAUUGUUUCAAAAGUAUAAAUCGACGCAUCUGUUCCAAUGAAGUUUAUUUUCAUUAAACGACCACAGAAAAUAAGCGAAUGUGGAAAUCCAAACAAAAAAAUAUAAAAUGUAAAAUGUAAACAAACGCAGGAACAAUGAUAGUGAAAAACCGUAUUCUGAGUAUAAACAUUGUGAUCACAGAAACAUGAAAAAAGAUUGUAUGGCUGCGCUAUACUUAACUCAACUCUAUAAGAGCAAGCGCUCGCAAAGCAACCUGACAUUGCGAUACAAAUUUGCUGACAGUAGGCCUGGGCCAAGGUAAUUCGAUUCUAAACCAAAAUUUCCAACAAAUUAAAGGAAAAUGUGUUUUCUCAAAUGUAGGUAAAA
rnacentral:lncRNA from 1 species